rnacentral:rRNA from 1 species
GAGUUUGAUCCUGGCUCAGGAUGAACGCUGGCGGCGUGCUUAACACAUGCAAGUCGAGCGAAGCACUUAAGUUUGAUUCUUCGGAUGAAGACUUUUGUGACUGAGCGGCGGACGGGUGAGUAACGCGUGGGUAACCUGCCUCACACAGGGGGAUAGCAGUUGGAAACGACUGGUAAUACCGCAUAAGCGCACAGCUUCGCAUGAAGCGGUGUGAAAAACUCCGGUGGUGUGAGAUGGACCCGCGUCUGAUUAGGUAGUUGGUGAGGUAACGGCUCACCAAGCCGACGAUCAGUAGCCGACCUGAGAGGGUGACCGGCCACAUUGGGACUGAGACACGGCCCAGACUCCUACGGGAGGCAGCAGUGGGGAAUAUUGCACAAUGGAGGAAACUCUGAUGCAGCGACGCCGCGUGAGUGAAGAAGUAUUUCGGUAUGUAAAGCUCUAUCAGCAGGGAAGACAGUGACGGUACCUGACUAAGAAGCUCCGGCUAAAUACGUGCCAGCCGCCGCGGUAAUAC